UACAGAGGGUGCAAGCGUUGCUCGGAAUCAUUGGGCGUAAAGGGCAAGUAGGUGGUCUCAUUUGUCUGAUGUGAAAGCCUUGAGCUUAACUCAAGAAGUGCGUCAGAAACGGUGAGACUCGAGUUCUGGAGAGGGUCGUGGAAUUCCCGGUGUAGCGGUGAAAUGCGUAGAGAUCGGGAGGAACACCAGAGGCGAAGGCGGCGACCUGGACAGAUACUGACACUCAACUGCGAAAGCGUGGGGAGCGAACAGG
rnacentral:rRNA from 1 species